GAUGAACGCUGGCGGCGUGCCUAAUACAUGCAAGUCGAGCGAAUGGAUUAAGAGCUUGCUCUUAUGAAGUUAGCGGCGGACGGGUGAGUAACACGUGGGUAACCUGCCCAUAAGACUGGGAUAACUCCGGGAAACCGGGGCUAAUACCGGAUAACAUUUUGAACCGCAUGGUUCGAAAUUGAAAGGCGGCUUCGGCUGUCACUUAUGGAUGGACCCGCGUCGCAUUAGCUAGUUGGUGAGGUAACGGCUCACCAAGGCAACGAUGCGUAGCCGACCUGAGAGGGUGAUCGGCCACACUGGGACUGAGACGCGGCCCAGACUCCGACGGGAGGCAGCAGUAGGGAAUCUUCCGCAAUGGACGAAAGUCUGACGGAGCAACGCCGCGUGAGUGAUGAAGGCUUUCGGGUCGUAAAACUCUGUUGUUAGGGAAGAACAAGUGCUAGUUGAAUAAGCUGGCACCUUGACGGUACCUAACCAGAAAGCCGCGGCUAACUACGUGCCAGCAGCCGCCGUAA
rnacentral:rRNA from 1 species